rnacentral:rRNA from 1 species
CCUACGGGAGGCUGCAGUGGGGAAUAUUGGACAAUGGGGGGAACCCUGAUCCAGCCAUGCCGCGUGUGUGAAGAAGGCCCUCGGGUUGUAAAGCACUUUCAGUGAGGAAGAACGCCUGGUGGUUAAUACCCAUCAGGAAAGACAUCACUCACAGAAGAAGCACCGGCUAACUCCGUGCCAGCAGCCGCGGUAAUACGGAGGGUGCGAGCGUUAAUCGGAAUUACUGGGCGUAAAGCGCGCGUAGGUGGCUUGAUAAGCCGGUUGUGAAAGCCCCGGGCUCAACCUGGGAACGGCAUCCGGAACUGUCAAGCUAGAGUGCAGGAGAGGAAGGUAGAAUUCCCGGUGUAGCGGUGAAGUGCGUAGAGAUCGGGAGGAAUACCAGUGGCGAAGGCGGCCUUCUGGACUGACACUGACACUGAGGUGCGAAAGCGUGGGUAGCAAACAGGAUUAGAUACCCCGGUAGUC